GGAAUUUGCAGAAAUGGUCCAGGGACACAUUGUACUCAAGGCCAAGAGUUUCCAUUUUGUAAACUUGUUUGAAACGUUGAAACCCUGCUUAGAAUGCAUUUCUAUGCUAACAUAGAUGACAAUUAGUCCGUAGUCUAGGACUGGGCUAUCUUAUAGUCCCAUCUAAAGGUCUUUUAUGGUUCUUAGCCUAUAUAAGAUGGUUUUCCUUUCUAUUAUGAAUGCCAUGUUAUACUGCUGAUUUUGCCCUGAUGUGUUAGUUUUUCUGUUAAUUGUGCAGGAUAAGACAUUUGAACAUCCAUAUUUACAAGCCAUUGGAUCACACACGUAAGUGCUUUGUAUUUUUACCAGCAAUUUUAUUAAACAUAAUCUGGUUUUAUCCUCUUUGGUUUUGUCCGAGAAAAAUGUUAGUCUUGUUAUUUUCUCUCAUAAAUUUAGGAGUUAUCGUCAUUUGAUUCCUAUUUUUUUUGAUAAUUUAACAUGGAGUCUCGUGUAGGGGAUGCCUUUUUUAAGAUUUGUCGUGGGAGAUCUUUUAAUUAAGAGUUCCGAUUAAUUUUUUAUUUAGGAGAUUUUGAUGUUCAUUAUGCAAUUUUCUUGUCUGGAUAUUGUUUUAUCUGAAAUUUUCCUAGUGAAGAGUACUAAUAAGGUUAAUAGGACAUGAAGAGUGGAUGAUUGUAUAUAAUUGCCUAUGUAUUCUAGUUGUUUUCACUCAUGAAUUUGAAGUUAUUUGUGGUUGGGAUCUUCUUCUCUAUUCUUUGCAAUAUUUGCAGUGCUGAACUUCUUUCACAUCAUAUCCACUGCACGUUUUCUUAUUUUUCCUAUCAUAAAUGCUAACCACAUUUGCUUGCUAAGAUUUUGUAUCAGUGCUUCAUAAAUAUUAACCCCAAGUCCUUAAUUUUACCAAACCUUAACCCACCCACUUACAAGAGCAUAUCAAUACAGACCUGUAGUGCAUGUUUGCUUGCUUGAAGCUUACUCAUUCUCAUCGAUUUUGAAAUUGUACAUUGCUCAGUUAUCUCGUGCAUGCUUCUUUUCAAAAGGUGGUAUUUUUUUCCCCAUUCAUCAUAUUCUUUAGAUUGGUCUCUAGCUGCAAGGGCUAUUAUCAGCUGACGGACGUCAUUGUCUAUUAAAUCUUCCAGUCUCUGAUCAUUUAAACCUGCUCCUUUUGUGCUCAAGACUGAACCAGAUUGGUUAAAUAUUUUCCUUACCUGUAAUUGUACACUUUGUUUGUUAUCAUAAGAUGUGUUACCUUUAUAUUAUAAUUGCAUCAUUUGUUAAGGGAU
rnacentral:misc_RNA from 1 species